rnacentral:rRNA from 1 species
AUUGAACGCUGGCGGCAGGCUUAACACAUGCAAGUCGAGCGGAGAGAGGUAGCUUGCUACUGAUCUUAGCGGCGGACGGGUGAGUAAUGCUUAGGAGUCUGCCUAUUAGUGGGGGACAACAUUUCGAAAGGAAUGCUAAUACCGCAUACGUCCUACGGGAGAAAGCAGGGGAUCUUCGGACCUUGCGCUAAUAGAUGAGCCGAAGUCGGAUUAGCUAGUUGGUGGGGUAAAGGCCUACCAAGGCGACGAUCUGUAGCGGGUCUGAGAGGAUGAUCCGGCACACUGGGAAUGAGACACGGCCCAGACUCAUACUGGAGGCAGCAGUGGGGAAUAUUGGACAAUGGGCGCGAGCCUGAUCCAGCCAUGCCGCGUGUGUGAAGAAGGCCUUAUGGUUGUAAAGCACUUUAAGCGAGGAGGAGGCUACUUUAGAUAAUACCUAGAGAUAGUGGACGUUACUCGCAGAAUAAGCACCGGCUAACUCUGUGCCAGCCGCCGCCGUAAAAC